UACGGUCAUGUCAGCUUGAAACACCGGUUGCUGUACGAUAUCGAAAUUAAGCAACGUCGAGCCUGGUCAGUACCUAGAUGGGUGACCCUUUUGGAAUACCAUGUGCUGUAAG